rnacentral:rRNA from 1 species
GACGAACGCUGGCGGCGUGCUUAACACAUGCAAGUCGAACGGAAAGGCCCUGCUUUUGUGGGGUGCUCGAGUGGCGAACGGGUGAGUAACACGUGAGUAACCUGCCCUUGACUUUGGGAUAACUUCAGGAAACUGGGGCUAAUACCGGAUAGGAGCUCCUGCUGCAUGGUGGGGGUUGGAAAGUUUCGGCGGUUGGGGAUGGACUCGCGGCUUAUCAGCUUGUUGGUGGGGUAGUGGCUUACCAAGUCUUUGACGGGUAGCCGGCCUGAGAGGGUGACCGGCCACAUUGGGACUGAGAUACGGCCCAGACUCCUACGGGAGGCAGCAGUGGGGAAUAUUGCACAAUGGGCGGAAGCGUGAUGCAGCAACGCCGCGUGCGGGAUGACGGCCUUCGGGUUGUAAACCGCUUUCGCCUGUGACGAAGCGUGAGUGACGGUAAGGGGUAAAGAAGCACCGGCUAACUACG